GCCCGGUUAGCUCAGUCGGUAGAGCGCAAGGCUCUUAACCUUAUGGUCGUGAGUUCGAGCCCCACAUUGGGCG
rnacentral:tRNA from 1 species